AAGAAUCUAGUUUAUUUAAAACAUUAACUUGUCAAGUUAAAAAAAUUAAUUUUAAUGUUUCUUA
rnacentral:tRNA from 1 species